rnacentral:lncRNA from 1 species
UUCAGGGAUUGUGUGUGUGUGUGUGUGUGUGUGUGUGUGUUGCAGAUAUCGAGGCAGAAACACACAAAGCCAAGGAGAUGAUGUCCAUUAUUUGCAAACCCACAGUGAGUCUCUACAGAUACACACACACACAUACACACACACACACACACACACACACACACACACAUACACACACACCGAUACUUAUACGCACACACAUAGGUGGACAUACAAACAUUCACAUUAAUACCAAUCUGACUAUGUACCAAUCCGUGGGUCAAUAGAUGAAUUUGUUAUGCAUUGUCCCAAUCUCUCAUUCUGUGUGUCUCUCUGUCUGUCUGUCUGUCUGUCUGUCUGUUAGGUCAGUGGUUUGACGUGUCAUUCAGCUGUCCUCUCCUGGUUUGCCCCCAUCAUCCUGCCAGCCAGAGACCUCACUGGUGCAGACAAACACACCCGCACACACACGCCUCCUCUGCUCUGCUACGAGCUGGUCUUGUCACAGAGUGGCACAGAUGGAGACUACAAGCUGGUCUAUCAAGGGAGAGACACUACAUUCACGUUAGGAGACCUCAAGCCAGCUACUCACUACUAUGCCAGGGUGUGUGUGGCUUGUCGCUCCAUCAAGGGCUCUGCGUCAGAGGCGGUGACGUUCACCACUCUCUGCACCCCCCCAGAUACCCCCCCACCCCCCCGCAUCCUCCUCCGGACUAAGAGUUCUGU